UACGGAGGAUGCAAGCGUUAUCCGGAAUGAUUGGGCGUAAAGAGUCCGUAGGUGGUUAUUCAAGUCGAUUGUUAAAGAGCGGGGCUUAACCCCGUAGAAGCAGUGGAAACUGAAUAACUAGAGAGAGGUAGGGGUAGAGGGAAUUCCCGGUGUAGCGGUGAAAUGCGUAGAGAUCGGGAAGAACAUCGGUGGCGAAAGCGCUCUACUGGACCGCAACCGACACUCAGGGACGAAAGCUAGGGGAGCGAAUGGG
rnacentral:rRNA from 1 species